UGGGGAAUAUUGCACAAUGGGCGCAAGCCUGAUGCAGCCAUGCCGCGUGUAUGAAGAAGGCCUUCGGGUUGUAAAGUACUUUCAGCGGGGAGGAAGGUGUUGAGGUUAAUAACCUCAGCAAUUGACGUUACCCGCAGAAGAAGCACCGGCUAACUCCGUGCCAGCAGCCGCGGUAAUACGGAGGGUGCAAGCGUUAAUCGGAAUUACUGGGCGUAAAGCGCACGCAGGCGGUCUGUCAAGUCGGAUGUGAAAUCCCCGGGCUCAACCUGGGAACUGCAUUCGAAACUGGCAGGCUAGAGUCUUGUAGAGGGGGGUAGAAUUCCAGGUGUAGCGGUGAAACGCGUAGAGAUCUGGAGGAAUACCGGUGGCGAAGGCGGCCCCCUGGACAAAGACUGACGCUCAGGUGCGAAAGCGUGGGGAGCAAACA
rnacentral:rRNA from 1 species